CUCCAAGUUAUAAAGAGCCAACGGUGGAUGCCUUGGCGCCUGAUGCCGAUGAAGGACGUGGAUGGCUGCGAAAAGCCACGGGUAGCUGCCUAUCUAGCUUUGAUCCGUGGAUAUCCGAAUGGGGAAACCCGCCAUGAGUAGUCAUGGCACUCUGGCCUGAAUAUAUAGGGUCAGUAGAGGGAACCGGGGGAAUUGAAACAUCUAAGUACCCCGAGGAAGAAAAAACAACAUGUGACUCCCUUAGUAGCGGCGAGCGAAAAGGGACCAAGCCUAAACCCAACUGGUGUGAUAGCCUGACAGCGUUGCCAGUUGUGGGGUCGUGGGAACUAUGACGUUUAGCUAUGUCAGAAGCUAAGAAAGAGUUACAAAGUCGAUACCUAGCAGAAUCGUUAUGGAAAUCUUAGCCACAGAGGGUAAUAGCCCCGUAUGUUAAAGGUAUUCGACCUCUUUUGUUUAGUCUCCCAAGUAGCGCCGGAUCCGGGAAAGCCGGCGUGAAUCUGCGAGGACCACCUCGUAAGGCUAAGUACAUAUCAGGCGACCGAUAGUGAACUAGUACCGUGAGGGAAAGGUGAAAAGCACCCCGGGAGGGGAGUGAAAUAGAUCCUGAAACCGUUGGUUUACAAUCAGUCAAAGCUAGGCAACUAGCGAUGGCGUGCCUUUUGAAGAAUGAGCCAGCGAGUUACGGUGUGUGGCGAGGUUAACCAGUGAUGGGUAGCCGGAGCGAAAGCGAGUCUGAAUGGGGCAAUUUAGUCGCACGCUGUAGACCCGAAGCCGAGUGAUCUAUCCAUGGGCAGGCUGAAGCGGGAGUAAGACCCCGUGAAGGGCCGAACCCACCAUAGUUGAAAAUAUGGGGGAUGACCUGUGGAUAGGGGUGAAAGGCCAAUCAAACUCGGUGAUAGCUGGUUCUCCCCGAAAUGCAUUUAGGUGCAGCGUCAGAUGAUCAGCGUUGGAGGUAGAGCACUGGAUGGGCGAUGGGGCUUCACCGCCUACUGACCUCAACCAAACUCCGAAUGCCAACGCUUCAACAGUCUGGCAGUGAGACCACGAGGGAUGAGCUUCGUUGGUCGAAAGGGAAACAACCCAGACCGUCAGCUAAGGCCCCUAAUUCUUGGCUAAGUGGUAAACGAUGUGGGAUCGCGAAAACAACCAGGAGGUUGGCUUAGAAGCAGCCACCCUUCAAAGAGUGCGUAAUAGCUCACUGGUCGAGUGAUCCCGCGCGGACAAUUUAACGGGGCUCAAGCCAAGAGCCGAAGCUACGGACUUCCUAUUUAUAGGGAGUGGUAGGGGAGCGUCGAAUCAAGCUGUGAAGCAGAGGUGGAAACCAUUCUGUGGAGCUGAUUCGAGUGAGAAUGCUGGCAUAAGUAGCGAGAGAGGAGUGAGAAACUCCUCCGCCGAAAACCCAAGGGUUCCUGGGCAAGGCUAAUCCGCCCAGGGUGAGUCGGGAGCUAAGACGAGGCCGAGAGGCGUAGCCGAUGCACAACUGGUUUAUAUUCCAGUACCACGACAGAUGCGUUAUUCAGCGAUGGAGGGACGCAGGAGGAUAGGUGAUCCCGGGUGUUGGUUAUCCCGGGGAAAGCGUGUAGGAGAGGGCCCAGGCAAAUCCGGUCCCUAUAAAACUCCAAGGCGUGAUUCCGAGCCGAUUCAGGCGAAGUCAUUGAUUCCAAGCUGCCAAGAAAAGCUUCUAGUGAGUAUCUGUGGUGCCCGUACCCCAAACCGACACAGGUGGGUAGGUAGAAAAUACUAAGGCGAUCGGGAGAACUGUGGUUAAGGAACUCGGCAAAAUACCUCCGUAACUUCGGGAGAAGGAGGGCCCAUUAGGUGAGGAGAUUUACUCUCCGUAGCUCAAGUGGGCCGCAGAGAAUCGGGGGAAGCGACUGUUUACUAAAAACACAGCAGCGUGCAAAGUCAAAAGACGACGUAUACGCUGUGACGCCUGCCCGGUGCCGGAAGGUUACGGGGAAGGGUUAGCCCUAAAAAGCGAAGCUCUGAACCUAAGCCCCGGUAAACGGCGGCCGUAACUAUAACGGUCCUAAGGUAGCGAAAUUCCUUGUCGGGUAAGUUCCGACCUGCACGAAUGGCGUAACGACUUCCCUACUGUCUCAACCACAGACCCGGCGAAAUUGAACUACGAGUAAAGAUGCUCGUUAGCUGCAUAAGGACGGAAAGACCCCGUGGACCUUUACUGUAGCUUGAUGUUGAUCUUUGGUACAGAUUGUGUAGGAUAGGUGGGAGCCUAUGAAGCGAAAGCGCUAGCUUUUGUGGAGGCAUCCUUGAAAUACCACCCUGUUUGUAUUGAGGUUCUAACCUAGAUCCGUUAUCCGGAUCGGGAACAGCGUCAGGUAGGCAGUUUGACUGGGGCGGUCGCCUCCUAAAGUGUAACGGAGGCGCCCAAAGGUUCCCUCAGACUGGUUGGCAAUCAGUCGUUGAGUGCAAUGGCAAAAGGGAGCUUGACUGCGAGACUUACAAGUCGAGCAGAUGCGAAAGCAGGGCAUAGUGAUCCGGCGGUAGCGUGUGGAAGCGCCGUCGCUCAACGGAUAAAAGGUACCCCGGGGAUAACAGGCUCAUCUUCCCCAAGAGUCCAUAUCGACGGGAAGGUUUGGCACCUCGAUGUCGGCUCGUCGCAUCCUGGGGCUGUAGUAGGUCCCAAGGGUUGGGCUGUUCGCCCAUUAAAGCGGUACGCGAGCUGGGUUUAGAACGUCGUGAGACAGUUCGGUCCCUAUCCGAUGCAGCCGCAGGAGACCUGAGGAAGGCUGUCCCUAGUACGAGAGGACCGGGACGGACGUAGCUCUUGUGUGCCAGUUGUCCCGCCAGGGGCAUGGCUGGUUAGCAACCUACGGAAGGGAUAAGCGCUGAAAGCAUAUAAGCGCGAAGCUCUUUCCAAGAUGAGGUCUCCCACAGGGUUAACCUGGUAAGGCCCGUGGCAGACUACCACGUUGAUAGGCCGGAAGUGUAAGUGUGGCAACACAUUCAGCUGACCGGUACUAAUCGGCCGAGGGCUUGGAGCU
rfam:Acidithrix ferrooxidans strain Py-F3 AXFE_contig000055, whole genome shotgun sequence.